UUUUGCUGGCUCAAAAGAGAAAAGACGGGAGAUUUAUUUGUUAGGGAAAACAAGAAAGGCAACUUGACAAAACAGGAACCAACGCCUAAUGAUAAAAAAGAAAAGAGGAACUAAGCACACAUAAGAGAAAAGGAGCAUAACGUGAAUACGACACGACAAUCAUGGAGGAACGAUGUCGGUAGCUUCGGAAACUUUUCCGGAUUUCUUUUCUUUUCUGUGUUACUUACUUUUUGAUGUCUAGCUAAAUAUUUAUUUUUAU
rnacentral:lncRNA from 1 species